rnacentral:misc_RNA from 1 species
GCAUGAUAAGCAUAUCAAGAAAAAUGACUUUAAAGAAGGAGAUUUGAUGCUCUUAUUCAAUUCAAGGUUGAAACUAUUUUCAGGAAAACUAAAAUCAAGGUGGUCAAGACCAUUUAAAGUUGUGAAAGUUUUCCCUCAUGGUGCUGUAGAAAUUUUUGGUGAAAAAUCUGGUAAUUUCAAAGUGAAUGGGCAAAGGUUGAGACAUUAUUCAGUUGGUGAACCCAUUGAGAAGAUAGCAACCUGCUAUCUCUCUCAUUCUCCAUGAGAUUUUGGUUGAGUAAGGUCAAGUUAAAGACCUAAACUUAGCAUUUCUGGGUGUAACCCACAAUUUUUCAUUGAUUUUUUAUUUCUUUUAUAUUUUUUGUUUUAAGUUUUCUAUACUCUUUAUUCAGAUUUUGACAUUGUUCUGAUUUUCUUAUGCAGAUGGGAUACAAUUCAUUGCAAGCAAAUGAGCACUUGUCAUUCCGUUUUAGUUCUAGUUUUAAAUUUAAAUUUUAAAUUUUAGUUUUAAAUUUGUUCCUUUGUACUUUUCAUCUUUCUAUGGCUGAAUAUUUGCUGGUUGGUUUUGCAGGUUUCAUUGCUCAUUUUGUUGAUCUUAAGAGGAAGUUUUUCUAAACUCUGUCAUCUUGGUUUAAAAAAGAAAAUCAAUUGAAUGUGGAUGCAUGAAUUGGUGCUUUGUAAAUUUUUAAUGAAUGUUAGAUGAAUACAACAGGUUGAGCAGUUAGAACUCAUGUUAUGAAGGUCUGAUCACUUAAAUUUUAAUUUAUCUCAAUUUUCUAAGUAUUGUGCAACUUUGUCAAAUUUGGACAGAAAGUUGCACAACCCCCCACCCAACCAAUUUUGGUUUGUGUUGUAGCUUGUGUUCGCUGGACACCAAUUUGGACAGAAAGUUCUACAACCUUCGGCAUAAUCGAUUUUGGCUUAUGUCGCAACUUAUGUUCACUGAGUGUAAUUUUGAACAGAAAGUUGCAUAACUUGUAACACCCCUGUUUGCAUAGCUGGUAUAUUUUACUAUUCCGGUAACUUGUGUCGAUCCGGAUAAUUCAGAGGAUUAGAAUCACAUUUAAGACAACUAGAUAAGCCCUGA